CUCGCACCCCAACCCAAGGACUGCUGCUCCUUGUAGCUGCGGUUUAAACAGAGGUGCGGACAGCAAAUGGACCAUGUCGCCUUCAGAGGGCUAUGUUAUGCUCCCCGAAGUGAAUCUGUAGGUCCCACAAUC